rnacentral:rRNA from 1 species
UGUGGUGCACGCCGAAYGGCGGGGCCUCCCGCGGAGAGCGAGCCGUCCGCUUCGGGGAUCUGCGUGCAGUGCCAGUCGCGUCGGGGAGCACCUCCGAGGUGAGCGUCACGAGUGUACCAGUGCUGCUGGUGUUGGGACGGCCUCGUCCGACCCGUCUUGAAACACGGACCAAGGAGUGCAACAUGUGCGCGAGUCCUCUGGUGAGGAAACCAAAAGGCGCAACGAGAGUGAAGGCACGGUUGCCGUGCCGAGGUGAGAGCCGUCCGUGGGGACGGCGCAUCAUCGACCGAUCCCGUCCGAGCCGCCCUUGCGGUGCGGUGGGAUUCGAGUGAGAGCGUACCUGUUGCGACCCGAAAGAUGGUGAACUAUGCCUGAAUAGGGUGAAGCCAGAGGAAACUCUGGUGGAGGCCCGCAGCGAUUCUGACGUGCAAAUCGAUCGUCAAAUUUGGGUAUAGGG